UACAGAGGUCCAUCAGUGUUUCGGUCGAUUCAUUGGGCGUAAAGGGUGCGUAGGCGGCGCGGUAAGUCGGGUGUGAAAUCUCGGGGCUUAACUCCGAAACUGCAUUCGAUACUGCCGUGCUUGAGGACUGGAGAGGAGACUGGAAUUUACGGUGUAGCGGUGAAAUGCGUAGAUAUCGUAAGGAAGACCAGUGGCGAAGGCGGGUCUCUGGACAGUUCCUGACGCUGAGGCACGAAGGUCAGGGGAGCAAACGGG
rnacentral:rRNA from 1 species